rnacentral:rRNA from 1 species
AUACGGAGGAUCCGAGCGUUAUCCGGAUUUAUUGGGUUUAAAGGGUGCGCAGGCGGCCAUUUAAGUCAGCGGUUAAAUCGUGGGGCUCAACCCCAUUCUGCCGUUGAUACUGGGUGGCUUGAUUGCGGUCGAGGUUGGCGGAAUUCGUUGUGUAGCGGUGAAAUGCAUAGAUAUGACGAAGAACACCGAUUGCGUAGGCAGCUGACCAGACCGCAAAUGACGAUCAUGCACGAAAGUGCGGGGAUCGAACAGGAUUAGAUACCCUGGUAAGCCGCACAGUAAACGAUGAAUACGUGUUUUCGGCGAUAUAAUGUCGGAGGUAAAGCGAAAGCGAUAAGUAUUCCACCUGGGGAGUACGCCGUCAACGGUGAAACUCAAAUGAAUUGACGGGG